rnacentral:rRNA from 1 species
UACAGAGGUCUCAAGCGUUGUUCGGAUUCAUUGGGCGUAAAGGGUGCGUAGGCGGCGCGGUAAGUCGGGUGUGAAAUCUCGGGGCUUAACUCCGAAACUGCAUUCGAUACUGCCGUGCUUGAGGACUGGAGAGGAGACUGGAAUUUACGGUGUAGCGGUGAAAUGCGUAGAUAUCGUAAGGAAGACCAGUGGCGAAGGCGGCCCACUGGUCCGGUACUGACGCUGAGGUGCGAAAGCGUGGGGAGCAAACAGG